rnacentral:lncRNA from 1 species
GAGUCCGAAACACAUGAAUAAUGGGAGUUGUUAAUAGUAAGCAGGCUGCUGUAAAAUGUGCUGGGGCUUUGACUUAAGGGAAGAAAGCACAGCACUGUACUGUCUCUGAUCAGGAAGCUGGAACACAGAAGAGCUCACUUCAGGUCAAAAAUGCUGAAGAUCRGAAACAUCCCAGGAUACUACUUCAGCCGAGUCUACAUCAUUGGACUAUUUUUACCUCCUCACUAAAGAUGGUCAGAAAUGAAGCAAAAUACAAGUAUGAGGAGAAGUUCUAAAGAUGAGAAGCAUAUAUGGCAGGUAUGCACCGGUACUACCUCC